CUUGUACACACCGCCCGUCACACCACGAGAGUUUACAACACCCGAAGUCGGUGGGGUAACCCGCAAGGGGGCCAGCCGCCGAAGGUGGGGUAGAUGAUUGGGGUGAAGUCGUAACAAGGUAGCCGUAUCGGAAGGUGCGGCUGGAUCACCUCCUUUCUAUGGAGCAUUUACCACGGUCUACUUGUAGACGUGGUCAUGCAAAUCUGGCUUCGGCCAAACAGUCUUGCUCACUCGUGUUCAGUUUUGAGAGGGGAAUGUCCUCUUUCAAAAAGACUUGUUCCUUGAAAACUGGAUAACGAAACGAAACAUCCACACUUACGAAGACACUCUUUUCUUUAACGAGAAGGGUUAAGUAAAUGCUUACGAAGCAGCGUUUCACUAACGUGAAUCGCUUUAGGUUAAGCUAGUAAGGGCACACGGUGGAUGCCUAGGCGCUAGGAGCCGAAGAAGGACGUGGCGAACGACGAAAUGCCUCGGGGAGCCGUAAGCAGGCGUUGAUCCGGGGAUGUCCGAAUGGGGAAACCCACGCGUGGUAAUGCGCACGUACCUUUACCUGAAUCCAUAGGGUAAACGGAGGCACACCCAGGGAACUGAAACAUCUAAGUACC
rnacentral:misc_RNA from 1 species